GCCCUGUAUUCACACACACACACAUAAGUUUGGCUCUGUGUGUGUGUUUGGGUGUGGUCAUGCAUGCCUGUAUUGUACCUGUGUAUACGUGUGUAUGUAUGUAUCAUUUUUUGUGUGUGUGUUUGUGGACGUGUAUGUGUAUAUUAGCCGUAUAUCCAUGGGUAGAACACAUCUACAUGUGAUGUGUAAAGCGACCAUGAAAGGACAGUGGCCCUAUUUCAUUAAAACAGACAGCUGAUUUGCUAAUGUGUUGUGGAUGUGUGAUCAGGGUGUGGAUGGGUGUUGUGCAUGUGUGAUCAGUGUGUUGGAAGGGUGUUGUGGAUGUGUGAUCAGUGUGUUGGAAGGGUGUUGUGGAUGUGUGAUCAGUGUGUUGGAUGGGUGUUGUGGAUGUGUGAUCAGUGUGUUGGAUGGGUGUUGUGGAUGUGUGAUCAGUGUGUUGGAAGGGUGUUGUGGAUGUGUGAUCAGUGUGUUGGAUGGGUGUUGUGGAUGUGUGAUCAGUGUGUUGGAUGGGUGUUGUGGGUGUGUGAUCAGUGUGUUGGAUGGGUGUUGUGGAUGUGUGAUCAGGGUGUGGAUGGGUGUUGUGGAUGUGUGAUCAGGAUUUGGAUGGGUGUUGUGGGUGUGUGAUCAGUGUGUUGGAUGGGUGUUGUGGGUGUGUGAUCAGGGUGUGGAUGGGUGUUGUGGAUGUGUGAUCAGGGUGUGGAUGGGUGUUGUGGGUGUGUGAUCAGUGUGUUGGAUGGGUGUUGUGGAUGUGUGAUCAGUGUGUUGGAAGGGUGUUGUGGAUGUGUGAUCAGUGUGUUGGAUGGGUGUUGUGGAUGUGUGAUCAGGGUGUGGAUGGGUGUUGUGGAUGUGUGAUCAGUGUGUUGGAUGGGUGUUGUGGGUGUGUGAUCAGGGUGUGGAUGGGUGUUGUGGAUGUGUGAUCAGUGUGUUGGAUGGGUGUUGUGGAUGUGUGAUCAGUGUGUUGGAUGGGUGUUGUGGAUGUGUGAUCAGGGUGUGGAUGGGUGUUGUGGAUGUGUGAUCAGUGUGUUGGAUGGGUGUUGUGGAUGUGUGAUCAGUGUGUUGGAUGGGUGUUGUGGGUGUGUGAUCAGGGUGUGGAUGGGUGUUGUGGGUGUGUGAUCAGGGUGUGGAUGGGUGUUGUGGGUGUGUGAUCAGUGUGUUGGAUGGGUGUUGUGGGUGUGUGAUCAGUGUGUUGGAUGGGUGUUGUGGGUGUGUGAUCAGGGUGUGGAUGGGUGUUGUGCAUGUGUGAUCAGGGUGUGGAUGGGUGUUGUGGAUGUGUGAUCAGGGUGUUGGAUGGUUGUUGGAUGUGUGAUCAGUGUGUUGGAUGGGUAUUGUGGGUGUGUGAUCAGUGUGUUGGAUGGGUAUUGUGGGUGUGUGAUCAGUGUGUUGGAUGGGUGUUGUGGGUGUGUGAUCAGGGUGUGGAUGGGUGUUGUGGGUGUGUGAUCAGUGUGUUGGAUGGGUAUUGUGGGUGUGUGAUCAGUGUGCUAGAUGGGUGUUGAGGCCAUCUACUUAAACUCCUAUGAGUUUGAAUUCAACUUCAAAACCAUCUGGAAUAUUUGUAUAAGAUUGCCCCUGGAGAAAUGUUGGAUAUUAAUGUUGUCUGAUCAUGUUUGAGUGUGUGUGUGUAUGUGCGUGCGCGCAGUGCCAGUGUUUUUUAUGUACCCCUGACUGAUACAUCUGAAUGAGAAAGCACAAACCCUUUUACAAACCCUGACCUCUUGUGCUCACAAUGUGUUACUACAGCAGCAGGCUGAUAGUGCACAGAGAAACUGAGAAGGAACAAAAAAGAAGAAGAACGUCACGAGAAUGUCC
ensembl:lncRNA